GGAAGGAUGCCCGAGUGGUAAGGGUCCCGCUUGGAACGCGGAGGUCUGGUGUAACAGCCAGCGUGGGUUCGAUCCCCGCUCCUUCCG
rnacentral:tRNA from 1 species